UACGUAGGGUGCGAGCGUUAAUCGGAAUUACUGGGCGUAAAGCGUGCGCAGGCGGUCAUGCAAGACAGAUGUGAAAUCCCCGGGCUCAACCUGGGAACUGCAUUUGUGACUGCAUGACUAGAGUACGGUAGAGGGGGAUGGAAUUCCGCGUGUAGCAGUGAAAUGCGUAGAUAUGCGGAGGAACACCGAUGGCGAAGGCAAUCCCCUGGACCUGUACUGACGCUCAUGCACGAAAGCGUGGGGAGCAAACAGG
rnacentral:rRNA from 1 species